AUUGAACGCUGGCGGCAUGCUUUACACAUGCAAGUCGGACGAGUGGCGAACGGGUGAGUAACAUAUCGGAACGUACCGAGCAGUGGGGGAUAACUAAUCGAAAGAUUAGCUAAUACCGCAUACUGUUUGAGCGGCCGAUAUCUGAUUAGCUGGUUGGUGGGGUAAAGGCUCACCAAGGCGACGAUCAGUAGCGGGUCUGAGAGGAUGAUCGGCCACACUGGGAUUGAGACCAGGCCCAGACUCCUAGGGGAGGCAGCAGGGGGGAAUUUUGGACAAUGGGGGCAACCCUGAGCCAGCCAUGCCGCGUGUCUGAAGAAGGCUUUGGGUUUGUAAAGGAUUUUUGUCGGGGAAGCGGUACCGGAAGAAUAAGCACCGGCUAACUACGUGCCAGCAGCCGCGGUAAUAC
rnacentral:rRNA from 1 species